rnacentral:rRNA from 1 species
ACGAACGCUGGCGGCGUGCUUAACACAUGCAAGUCGAACGCUGAAGCUCAGCUUUUGUUGGGUGGAUGAGUGGCGAACGGGUGAGUAACACGUGAGUAACCUGCCUCCUUCUUUGGGAUAACGCCCGGAAACGGGUGCUAAUACUGGAUAUUCACUGGUCUUCGCAUGGGGGUUGGUGGAAAGGGUUUUUCUGGUGGGGGAUGGGCUCGCGGCCUAUCAGCUUGUUGGUGGGGUGAUGGCCUACCAAGGCUUUGACGGGUAGCCGGCCUGAGAGGGUGACCGGUCACAUUGGGACUGAGAUACGGCCCAGACUCCUACGGGAGGCGGCAGUGGGGAAUAUUGCACAAUGGGCGCAAGCCUGAUGCAGCGACGCCGCGUGAGGGAUGGAGGCCUUCGGGUUGUGAACCUCUUUCGCUCAUGGUCAAGCCGCAACAAUGGUUGUGGUGAGGGUAGUGGGUAAAGAAGCGCCGGCUAACUACGUG